GACGAACGCUGGCGGCGUGCUUAACACAUGCAAGUCGAACGAAGUGGCGAAAGGGUGAGUAACGGGUAAUCAACCUGCCCUUCAGAGGGGGACAACAGUUGGAAACGAAUGCUAAUAACGCAUACUGAAGGAGGGGAUUGAGUCUGAUUAGCUAGUUGGGGGGGAAACGGCCCACCAAGGCGAUGAUCAGUAGCCGGUCUGAUAGGAUGAACGGCCACAUUGGGACUGAGACACGGCCCAGACUCCUACGGGAGGCAGCAGUGGGGAAUCGUCCGCAAUGGACGAAAGUCUGACGGAGCAACGCCGCGUGAGUGAUGACGGCCUUCGGGUUGUAAAGCUCUGUUAAUCGGGACGCGGUACCGGAAUAGAAAGCCACGGCUAACUACGUGCCAGCAGCCGCGGUAAUAC
rnacentral:rRNA from 1 species